ensembl:lncRNA
UUUAUAUUGCUAUAUGAAGAAAACACAACAAAUCUCAAAAUAUAGUCACUAGUUUUCCCAAUUUGAACUUUAAAAAUUCAAAUUUUAGGAGUUCCUGUCGUGGUGUAGAGGUUAAUGAAUCUGACUAGGAACCAUGAAGUUGCGGGUUCGAUCCCUGCCCUUACUCAGUGGGUUAACCAUCCAGCAUUGCUGUGAGCUGUGGUGUAGACUGACUGUUAAUCCUUAAAAAGGCUGCUUGCAAAACUGACCCUUGGUUAGCACCUGGGAAUUUGGAUCUUGGAAACUGAGAGGAUUCCUACCCCCUAACAGAUAAGAAUGGCUCACUCUGCCUAAACUGUUCAGGAAAACAAUAUGGUUUAUGGCAAUACCUGUUUUCCUUCUGAAACUGGGUAUGUGCUGGGCAGAGGGAUCAGUCUCUAUCUAUACUCUUAACAAGCUUUCCUGGCUGGCUACAUUUCACAUAUAUUGUCACAACUCCUUGCUGGGAGAAUUAAAUAUACCUUGUAUGAUUCUGCUGGGAGAGGACCCUUGGAAAUUUGCACCUUAUCUUCCCAGGAUUUCUCCCCAUGAACCUUUUCCUUUUGUUCACUAAGCUUUGUAUCCUUUGUUAUAAUAAAUCAGAGCAAUGAGUAUGAUUACAUGCUGAGUCCUUUGAAACCUCCUAGCAAACCAUCGAACCUGGUCUUGGUGAACUCCUGACCAAUAAGGUAAAUGCUAUGUUUUAACUUUAUAAGAAACAACCUACCAAUUCUCCAAAGUGGUUGACCAUUUUUGCAUUCCCACCAGCAACAGAUGAUGUUCCAGCUGCUCUACAUCCUCAUAACUAUUUAGUCCUAUCAGGUUUUUUUUUGGGGGGGGAUGCUUUUUAGGGCUGCACCCACAGCAUAUGGAGGUUCCCAGGCUAGUGGUCAAUUUGGAGCUACAGCUGCCAGCCUAUGCCACAGCCAUAGCAAUAUCAGAUCCGAGCAGCAUCAGCAACCUACACCACAGCUCAUGACAAUGCUGGAUCCUUAACCCACUGAGCAAGGCAGGGAUCGAACCCACAACCUCAUGGUUCCUAAUCAGAUUCAUUUUCACUGUGCCAUGAUGGGAACUCCUAGAGCUAUCAGUUUUCAAUUUUAGUUAUUCCACUGGUUAUGCAGUAGUAUCUCUACAAAUUAAAACACCUAUGGUAUUAAUUUACAUUUAUUAAUGCCUAAUGAUAGUGAACAUCUUUUCAUGUGUUAAGCAACUGUAUAUUUUCUGUGAAAUAUCUGUGUCUUUGAACCAUUUUUAUAUAAGGUGGUUGAUUUUCUAAAAUACUGAUUUCAGGUUUUUUAUAUAUUCCGGAAAUAAGUUGUUGUUGUUACUGUUUUUUGUCAAUUUUAAGUACCAGGAAUAAUUUUUUUUUCCAUUCUGUGGCAUGUCCAGUCAUCUUCCUAUUGUCUUUGGAUGAGCAAAAAAUGUUAACUUUGAUAGUCCUAUUUAUCCAAUUUUCUUUUAUGAUUAGUGCUUUUUGUAUCCUGUCCAAGAAAUAUUUGCUUUCUCAGUAGAGUUUUAAAAGAUUUCUUUAUGUAAGUUCUGUUAUGGCUUAUUAGGUUUAUUUCUAGAUAAAUGAUCUUUUUGUUAAUUUUGUGAAUGGGUUCUUCUUUUCCUUUAUGUAAUUGGUUUUUAUUCACAUAAAGGAAAACUAUGGUUUAUUUAUAUAUUAACACUACCUUACCCAGAAGUUGUACAGAAAAAGUUAGAUAAAUAUGACUAAAAAGUCAAAGAUUUUUUUGGCAAAAGUACCAUAAACCGAAUUGUAAUACCACUGGCAAACUGGGACAAUACAUUUCCAACAUAUAUGACAAAAGGGUAAUUUUUUUUUUUUGAAUUUACAAAUAGCUCAGAGAAGUCAGUAAGAUAAAUAACAUUAUAAAUGACAGUGUAUAUAAUAAACAUUAUAAAUCUGCAGAAAAAUGAAUUUCAUAAGCUUAAGAAAAAAAUUAAAAAUGCAAAUAAAAACAAGGAUACAUUCCCAUUUUUCACUUAUCAGAUUGAAAAAAGUUUAAGCUUGAUAAAACCCACUACUGUAAAGGUAACACUUUCAGACUGUUGGUAGGAAUGUACUUUCUAGAAGACAAUCUGACAAUGGUUCAAAAUUUUGUUUUAUUUUAUUUUAUCUCUUUUUAGGGCCGCACCCAUGACAUAUGGAG